GACGAACGCUGGCGGCGUGCUUAACACAUGCAAGUCGAACGGAAAGGCCCUGCUUUUGUGGGGUGCUCGAGUGGCGAACGGGUGAGUAACACGUGAGUAACCUACCCUUGACUUUGGGAUAACUUCAGGAAACUGGGGCUAAUACCGGAUAGGAGCUCCUGCUGCAUGGUGGGGGUUGGAAAGUUUCGGCGGUUGGGGAUGGACUCGCGGCUUAUCAGCUUGUUGGUGGGGUAGUGGCUUACCAAGGCUUUGACGGGUAGCCGGCCUGAGAGGGUGACCGGCCACAUUGGGACUGAGAUACGGCCCAGACUCCUACGGGAGGCAGCAGUGGGGAAUAUUGCACAAUGGGCGGAAGCCUGAUGCAGCAACGCCGCGUGCGGGAUGACGGCCUUCGGGUUGUAAACCGCUUUCGCCUGUGACGAAGCGUGAGUGACGGUAAUGGGUAAAGAAGCACCGGCUAACUACGUGCCAGCAGCCGCGGUGAUACGUAGGGUGCGAGCGUUGUCCGGGUUUAUUGGGCGUAAAGGGCUCGUAGGUGGUUGAUCGCGUCGGAAGUGUAAUCUUGGGGCUUAACCCUGAGCGUGCUUUCGAUACGGGUUGACUUGAGGAAGGUAGGGGAGAAUGGAAUUCCUGGUGGAGCGGUGGAAUGCGCAGAUAUCAGGAGGAACACCAGUGGCGAAGGCGGUUCUCUGGGCCUUUCCUGACGCUGAGGAGCGAAAGCGUGGGGAGCGAACAGGCUUAGGUACCCUGGUAGUCCACGCUGUAAACGGUGGGUACUAGGUGUGGGGUCCAUUCCACGGGUUCCGUGCCGUAGCUAACGCUUUAAGUACCCCGCCUGGGGAGUACGGCCGCAAGGCUAAAACUCAAAGGAAUUGACGGGGCCCCGCACAAGCGGCGGAGCAUGCGGAUUAAUUCGAUGCAACGCGUAGAACCUUACCUGGGUUUGACAUGGAUCGGGAGUGCUCAGAGAUGGGUGUGCCUCUUUUGGGGUCGGUUCACAGGUGGUGCAUGGCUGUCGUCAGCUCGUGUCGUGAGAUGUUGGGUUAAGUCCCGCAACGAGCGCAACCCUUGUUCACUGUUGCCAGCACGUUAUGGUGGGGACUCAGUGGAGACCGCCGGGGUCAACUCGGAGGAAGGUGGGGAUGACGUCAAGUCAUCAUGCCCCUUAUGUCCAGGGCUUCACGCAUGCUACAAUGGCUGGUACAGAGAGUGGCGAGCCUGUGAGGGUGAGCGAAUCUCGGAAAGCCGGUCUCAGUUCGGAUUGGGGUCUGCAACUCGACCUCAUGAAGUCGGAGUCGCUAGUAAUCGCAGAUCAGCAACGCUGCGGUGAAUACGUUCCCGGG
rnacentral:rRNA from 1 species